rnacentral:lncRNA from 1 species
ACACACACGGUUCAUUAUCACAUUAGUGAGCUUNNNNNNNNNNNNNNNNNNNNNNNNNNNNNNNNNNNNNNNNNNNNNNNNNNNNNNNNNNNNNNNNNNNNNNNNNNNNNNNNNNNNNNNNNNNNNNNNNNNNNNNNNNNNNNNNNNNNNNNNNNNNNNNNNNNNNNNNNNNNNNNNNNNNNNNNNNNNNNGAAGGGUCAACACUGGUCAAAGAAAGUGCAAGCAAAUAGCCGGGAGCAACUAGUUAACGAGCGCUCCUUCAGGAGCCUCGCAACGAUCAGCGCCACUUGGCGCGCUCUCAGCCAUUCGUCACGUGUCGCGCUCUGGACGCUUUCUCUGGAUUUUUUUUCCGCACGCGUUUUCGGCUUUUUAAACGGGUUUUUUCCGGGGGGUUUCGACGUUUUGGUCUUCCCCGGUCUUUCUUAGCUUUUCGAUAAAAAAAUUCCGAAAAAAAAAUUUGCACGAAAAAAAUGUGUUUUCUGUUUUUUUUAUUUUCCCGAGAGUCACGGUUUUGCUUCCGCGAGAGGCACGGUUGUGCUUUCGCGAGAGUCACGGUCGUGCCUCUCGGAAAGGGAAAAACAAAACACGUUUUCUGUUUUUCUUUCUUUCGCGAGAGUCACGGUUGUGCUUUCGCGAGAGUCACGGCCGUGCCUCUCGGAAAGGGAAAAACAAAACGCGUUUUCUGUUUUUUUUUUUCGCGAGAGUCACGGUUUUGCUUCCGCGAGAGGCAUGGUUGUGCUUUCGCGAGAGUCACGGCCGUGCCUCUCAGAAAGGGAAAAAAAUACGUAUUUUCUGUUUUCUUUCUUUCGCGAGUCACGGUUUUGCUUUCACGAGAGGCACGGUUGUGCUUUCGCGAGAGCCACAGUCAUGCUCUCGGAAACGGGAAAAAAACGUGUUUUCUAUUUUUUUUCUUCCACGAGAGUCACGAUUUUGCUUCCGUGAGAGGCACUGUUGUCAUUUCGCGAGAGGCAUGGGCAUGCCUCUUUCGGAAAGGAAAAAAAUAUCGUGCUCCCGGUUUGAUUUUUUUGCUCGGUUUUUUUCGUCUGGUUUUUUCCGUGAAAAAAAUAAGUUCGUCAAAACCUAUCAACAUGGAUCUAGUUUUGAGGAUCUCGACGCGAGGAAUCCAAUGGUGAAAACGGUUCGAAAUUUAGACGCACGGUUUGGGAGAUAAAACGUUUUGAAUAAAUGGAUCUACGAAAAAAAGGGAAAAUUCUCAGGUUGCGACAAGUGGCGCGCUGCGUGUGCGACAUUUGUCGUGGCGUGGGAAAGUGGAGUGUUCUUUGAAACGAGUACUCCUUAAUUAGUGAUUUCGCAAAUAGCCUUGAUCAACCAGUCAAAAGAAAAGGCAAAGCCAACGAUGAAGAAAAGAACCAAAGAAGCCCGAGUCCUAAUUCGGCCCACUUAGUCAAAGGCUCGUUCAUGCAUGGAUGAAGAGGAGUGGUGCACCAUGGGGCAGAUCCUAUACGACGCCCGUGUGCGUCCGUUUGUCGCUGCUUCGAGCGAGACCUGGUUUUGGGAACGUUCUAGUAGGUUCUCUGGACCAUUUUUUUUCUUUUGCUAGUUUUUCCGUUUAUACAUGUUUCUUUUGCUAGUUUUUUCGGUCCUAAAUAAAAAACAUGUUUCUUUUUUUAUCUUUUUUUUCUUUUUUCUAUUUCUGUUUCUGCUUCUUUUCUUUCAUUUUAUCCUUUCUCGUUUUGCUUUUAUACUUUGUUUUCAAGAAAAUGGUUUGAAAUCCCAAUUUUUGUUCACGAUUUUCAAAAAUUGUUCAUUGAUUCAAAAUUUUGUUCAUGUUUUUCAAAAAUUGUUCAGUGUAUAUCACAAAAUGUUCAAUGUGUAUUUAAUAUUUGUUUAGUGUAUAUAACAAAAUUGUUCACCAUUUAGUUGAAAAUAUUUCAACGUAUAUUACAAAAACAUUCAAUGUAUAUUUAAAAUUUGUGCAUCGCAUAUCACAAAAAUGUACAGUGUGUAGUUAAAGAUUGUUCGGCGUAUUUUCACAAAAAAAUCAAUGUAUAUUUGAAACUUGUAAAAAAUCAACAAAUGUUUGGAUUUUCAAAUUUUGUUACUGGUCAAUAAUUAUUCACGUUUUUUUUGUAAAAUUCACGUUUUAAAAUUUGUUCGAGAAAAAGUUAUUCAUUUCUUGAAGGAAUGAUUAAAAGACGGAUCUACCGGUGUACAUAAUACCUUCCUUUUGAGCGAUGUAAUUCAACACGCAGUCAGGCGCCAGUGUAAUGUCUAGCAACCCUGCUAAAUAUCGAUGGGUAGCCGGUUCGACUCCAACCAACGCUGCAUUUUUCCUGCCGUUUCCCUUUUAUGUUCGCUAGUGGAAAUGGGCCGGCCCGUUUUGCGUGAAUCCUUCAGCGGAAGCUGCUCGUCUUGACGCACGCGAGCGUCAGCUAGGAGCACUCGCACCAUGGACUAUGAAGACCCCCACCUUUGACUAGUCUUUAUGGACUGGGUUAACCUUCUGUCGUUCCUACGAGGAUAGUGUUGGUCAUUUGUAAGGCACCCUCACAUAUAAGGUCCUCAUGGGCAUGUAACUCAUUACAUCUUCACUUGAAUAAACUCUAGGGGAGGGCACUAGAGCUCUUGGACCUGUUUACAACCCCCAAGUCGCUAAUGUGGAGUCUGAGGAGUUACGCAUGACCCGGCCUCGACUUUGGAGUUUGGGAGAGGGUUUCGAGGAGUCACGCACCACUCGGGGCGACCGUCUAGCUCCAACGAGGCAACUGGACCUCUUCAAGAAACAUUGUUUUGUCAUUCUUGUCGAGUGUACGGUGAGUCGGUGACCUACACUAUAAGCUAUCGUACAUGGCAUCGUUAACACUAAAUUGCUUACCAACACACUAUUUAGGAUAUCCUCUAGUUUUAGUAAGAUGUCAACCUCACUAGCUUUGUUAGUUGUGACAAGUGAUUAACAUAUAGUGUGGUUGGAAGUAUUUUUGUAUUUAGGAAUAAUAAAUGGCUGAAAAUAGAAGUGCUUAUAGAAGUUGUUGGAAGGAAUUCUCUAUAAGGAAAAUGGACCGUGGUUCAUAGGUUUAUCGAUAGUAACACUCCCAAAUGUAAUGGUACAUAAAAACGACAUAAAGAUAUAUAUGCAAGCGAAAUAUUACAUACACAUGACAGAAAACUUCAUAUUCAAUUUGAUGGUAUUAUAUGAGUAGUACAUUCGUGAAAUCUUUAAACCAAAAUCUAUCAUGGAUCUAUGGCUAAUACUCCAAUCAGAUACUGAAAUUCAUCAUGCAUCUCCAAGUAUUAAGUAAUAAAAUAGAACAUUGCUUUGAGUAAGAUGACAUACAACCGAUAAUGUUCCCCUAUGCCUUGGGUUCAUCACGGAAUCAAACAAUUUUACUGUAUUGUUAUCCUUAGUGGCAAUAACACAAUGCAAGCCUUUUUCCUUGUACUGUCACCAAGGUACCUUGCUUGCAAGAUUAAACAACUAGUGCAUACCACUUCCUCUAAUGAUCACUCAUCCAAACUAGCUAGUGAAUCGACAGAUAAUCGGAGAGCAUAUGUGUCUACAAAUCAAACACAAGCAUCACAUAUAAUAUGAUCAUAAAGUAACAAUUCAACAAAUUAGCGUAAUCAUCACACAAAAUACAUAAGAGGGAUCACAAUCAUGUUAGGCAGCUCAUGUGUUCGUUGUAUUGAAGAGCAAUGGAGAUUCUACGACAUGGCUACUACUUCGAACCCAUAGUCAAGUGGGUGGACUACUCAUACAUUAUCAUGGAGCGGCGAGGGUCGAUGUUGAUAAAUAUGCGAUGAAUUAUAGCUCUGGCAGAGUACCAGAACAUGGAUGUAGAUGAGGCCGCCUUAGAACGCGAAGAGAGAAUGACGGUAAUUGCAGGAUAAAUACUCAAUGAGUUUUGGGGAUACAUAUAAGCCAUGGGCGUUGGUGAGGACUGAGGAGGCAGGGGAGGUUGAAUGAGCCCAGACGCCCUAGGCCAUCCUGCCUAUCCCUAUGGCUCCGAGUCUCUUCUGGUCCAAAAACCUCUCUUGCAUUUUUAUUUUAUUGUUCCCAUGACAUAAAAUAUCUCUUUCUUGAAACCAAAAUCACGGGAAAAGGGGAAUUGGCAUUGACCAUUUUAUUAAUAUGUUACUCCAAAUAAAUCAUAAAACAUGCUAGUUCAUUGAUAUUAAAGCAUGAAAGCUUCAAAAAUUAUGGACAUGUUUAGGACGUAUCAGUUAUUCGACGUACAUACAUUCAGAAUUGUCCUUCAUGCGGGGACUUUCAAGGGAUAUAUUCACUGGAUAGUUUCCUCUGCGGCUUUGGCCGAGUUGGCAGCAUGACUCUGCCAUUGCAUCGCCAAGUCGAACAUAUGCCUUUCCCACUUGAUGGCCCAUCAAAGCGGCACAUGAACAUAGAUUAUGCCAUAAGGCCUCUGACAUCUUCAGCAUGGCAUGGACAUAGUUGGUGAUGGCCAUAAAUUGUUCCAACUAAGGUCUUCUAAGAAAGGGCGUUAUAGGCCAUCAAGAAGUUAAACACCUCAAAACGUAAGAGCACAUGAGGAUGANNNNNNNNNNNNNNNNNNNNNNNNNNNNNNNNNNNNNNNNNNNNNNNNNNNNNNNNNNNNNNNNNNNNNNNNNNNNNNNNNNNNNNNNNNNNNNNNNNNNNNNNNNNNNNNNNNNNNNNNNNNNNNNNNNNNNNNNNNNNNNNNNNNNNNNNNNNNNNNNNNNNNNNNNNNNNNNNNNNNNNNNNNNNNNNNNNNNNNNNNNNNNNNNNNNNNNNNNNNNNNNNNNNNNNNNNNNNNNNNNNNNNNNNNNNNNNNNNNNNNNNNNNNNNNNNNNAAGCAGAGAGUAUUGUCAAGAGUUUGUAGUUACCAAACAAGUCGCCAGCAUUAAAGCUGAUGGGGAUGUUUGACCAUUAAAGUCGGGAUGGCUCCGCCUUGGCGAUCAGAACCACCAUCGUGGAUGCCUUCAUGACCCUCCUAGACACAUAGCAUGCUAAUCUGCCCCGCAUCUGUACCACGAAGUGGGAGUAUGGUGUGGGGAUUGCAUGCUCUUCAACUUUCACUUGUUGUUUCUCCAUCUCGAUCAAGCGUAGAGGACACGACAUUCAGCCCGCCUGUAGAAUCUGGUGUCAUGGAGUUCACACCAAUUCCUACAACUUUGCUGAUCCUUAGGUAUCUAGCUUGAGCGGACCAUUGUCGAUCGAGAGGAGAACUAUCCUAUGACUGUUGUCCUCGUUGCGGCACGGGUUGGCGUAGAUGCCAGCGUCGACAAUGACAUAAUCGAUAGAGUUGUGGUGUCAAUUAUGAAGUCACUAGUGAAGGUAUCGCUCCAUAUCCAAUUUGGUAGCACGAGGACCCCCACAGUUGGCAUCUGUUUUCGACAGUGAUUUGUGAUGUACCUAACAUCAAUAGGGUGAAUGUACAUAGACUUAUAUGAUAUUGUGAUGUCACCUCUGAAGGAAAUAUGCCCUAGAGGCAAUAAUAAAGUUAUUAUUUAUUUCCUCAUAUCAUGAUAAAUGUUUAUUAUUCAUGCUAGAAUUGUAUUAACCGGAAACAUGAUACAUGUGUGAAUACAUAGACAAACUUAAUGUCACUAGUAUGCCUCUACUUGACUAGCUCAUUAAUCAAAGAUGGUUAUGUUUCCUAACCAUAGACAUGUGUUGUCAUUUGAUUAGAGAGAUCACAUCAUUAGUAGAAUGAUGUGAUUGACUUGACCCAUUCCGUUAGCCUAGCACUUGAUCGUUUAAUAUGUUGCUAUUGCUUUCUUCAUGACUUAUACAAAGUUCCUACAACUAUGAGAUUAUGCAACUCCCGUUUACCGGAGGAACACUUUGUGUGCUAUCAAACGUCACAACGUAACUGGGUGAUUAUAACGGAGCUCUACAGGUGUCUCCAAAGAUGAUGUUGAGUUGGCGUAUUUCGAGAUUAGGUUUUGUCGCUCCGAUUGUCGGAGAGGUAUCUCUGGGCCCUCUCGGUAAUGCACAUCACUAUAAGCCUUGCAAGCAAUGUGGCCAAUGAGUUGGUUACGGAAUGAUGCAUUACGUAACGAGUAAAGAGACUUGCCGGUAACGAGAUUGAACUAGGUAUUGGAUACCGACGAUCGAAUCUCGGGCAAAUAACAUACCGAUUACAAAGGAAACAACGUAUGUUGUUAUGCGGUUUGACCGAUAAAGAUCUUCGUAGAAUAUGUAGGAGCCAAUAUGAGCAUCCAGGUUCCGCUAUUGGUUAUUGACCGGAAACAGUUCUAGGUCAUGUCUACAUAGUUCUCGAACCCGUAGGGUCCGCACGCUUAAAGUUACGAUGACAGUUUCAUUAUGCGUUUGUAUGUUUUGAUGUACCGAAGGUUGUUCGGAGUCCCGGAUGUGAUCACGGACAUGACGAGGAGUCUCGAAAUGGUCGAGACAUAAAGAUUGAUAUAUUGGAAGCCUAUAUUUGGAUAUCAGAAUUGUUCCGGGAGAAAUCAGGAUUUUUCCGGAGUACCGGGGGGUUACCGGAACCCCCCCCCCCCCCGGGGGGGGGGGGGUUAAUGGGCCUACAUUGGGCCCUAAGGGAGAAGAGGAGGGCCGGCCAGGGCAGGCCGCGCGCCCCCUCCCCCUCUAGUCCGAAUAGGACAAGGAAGGGGGGGCGGCGCCCCCCUUUCCUCUUUCCCCUUCCCCCUUUCCUUCUCCUACAAGGCAAGAGGGGGGAGUCCUACUCCCGGUGGGAGUAGGACUCCUCCAGGCGCACCCCUAGGGGCCGGCCGCACCUCCCCCUCCCUCCUUUAUAUACGGGGGCAGGGGGCACCCCAUAACACACAAGUUGAUCUUCGUGAUCGUUCCUUAGCCGUGUGCGGUGCCCCCCUCCACCAUAUUCCACCUCGGUCGUAUCGUUGCGGUGCUUAGGCGAAGCCCUGCGUCGGUAGAACAUCAUCAUCGUCACCACGCCGUCGUGCUGAUGGAACUCAUCCCCGACACCCUGCUGGAUCGGAGUCCGGGGAUCGUCAUCGAGCUGAACGUGUGCUGACCUCGGAGGCGCCGUACGUUCGGUGCUUGGAUUUGUCGGAUCGUGAAGACGUACGACUACAUCAACCGCGUUGUCAUAACGCUUCCGCUUUCGGUCUACGAGGGUACGUGGACACACUCUCCCCUCUCGUUGCUAUGCAUCACCAUGAUCUUGCGUGUGCGUAGGAUUUUUUUUGAAAUUACUACGUUCCCCAACAACCUCAGGUUAUCAGUGGACAGGGGGCACAAGUUUUAUCCGGGUUCGGUCGUUGUGUGGUGAGUUAUAACCUUACUCCUACUUAUAUGAGAUUGUAUCAUCAACAAGUUACAAUGGGUGUACUAUGGCGUAUCCGGUGAGUUGGAGGUCAACUCACCUAAGAUGGAGGUGGAUGAUCUCGACAUAAUGCAUAUAUUGGAUCUACUAAUGUGCUAAACUACACUUCUAGGGUUUCUAGAGCGAUUGAAGGUCCCCUUCUUGUCGCGAGGAAAGCCCUUAUAUAGGGGUCUGGUCGGUGGCCCUUGUCUUUCUUCUUGAUCUUCUUGUCUCACAAGCCCUCAAUUCCUCCAUUUUUGGUAGUCACACGGUUUCUUCUUAAGGAAACCAUGGUUGGCACGUAUAAGGGAUCUAGCUCCCUUCAUGCCCCACAUACAUGGGAAAAUAUGGACAAAAUAGUAGCAUGUGUGGCACGGAAAUACAGUGAAACCACUUUCCCAUACACUUACUUUAUCCGCAUUUCCAAACGUGCAAAGAAAAACUUAAAAAAAUGUCACCUAUCCCACACCCCCUCUACUCGACCUCACCGGUCAUUUCAACUGCCUCUCAAGGAAGUGUCAAUGUCACAGCUGCAGCUCACAUUAGUGAAGACGCAGUGGACCAAGUAAAGGAGAUGAACCCCCAGGUGUAUUUGGCAUGGGACAAGUGCAUAUUUCGUUGGAAUCCUCUGUGGCCCAUGAAUGGGGUGUAUGAGUGGACGUGGAUGUUCUAAUCCCGAGCUCACAUGAGCUUGGAUGAACAGUAAAAAACUAAUAUUUUUGUGUGCCAAAUAUUGACUAAUGUUUUGAUUGCUUGCAAAGUUUCAUCACCGGAUAAUAUUUGUGGGAAACAUGGUAAAAAAACAAAAUCGAUGCUCUAAAAUGCUUUUGAAAAACGUGGCAAAAAUACAACAUCGAAAUGGCUGGCCGUCUAGGAGCCACAAGCCGCUGCCUCCUCCUCCUCCAAACAAAAGCUAGGAUUCCCGCCUCUCGCCAGCGCCGCCACAGGUCCGCCUCGUCUUCGAUGGCCCUAGGGCCAUGAGGGCGUGGUGGAUCCUGGCAAGGGCCGGUGGGAGGGCUUCGAUUUUUAUCGUUCAUUUCUGUUUUGUUAGGGUUUGUGUCCUGCUCAGUAAAGACGAGACGGCGGAGGCUCCCUAAAAAUGGAAUAAAGGUCUCCCACCUAGCCCCCGUUUCGGCAGUGUGAAGGUGUGUCUCUGGUGGAUCUAUCUUUGGUGGAUUUGCUCGGAUCUCGUCAUUGUUCGUCUAUGUUUGUGUGUCUUUGGAUUGGAUCCUUUCGAUCUAUGUUAUUCUUCAUCAACGGCGGUUGCUGUUCUGAUGCGUUUGUCCUAUGGGGCCUUAGCACGAUGACUUCCCGACUGUCUACUACAACAAGUUGUGCCCGACUCUGAUGAUGGAGGGGCGAUGACGGCGGUGCGUCUUCGGCUCGCUUUAGUCCUUGUAGUCGUCGCUAGGUGGUCUAUAAAUCUGGAUGUAAUUUUUAUUAUUUCUAGUGUUCGUUAUAUUAUCAUGGUUGAAGAAAAAUAGAUUAGAAAGUUUUCUCGCAAAAAGAAAAAAGAAAUUGCUGGCCGUCCAAGCUGGAGGUCUCAACAUCACGGAGUGUGUCGCUAGGUAGAGGAAGGGGGGAGAAGCAGGUGUUCAUAGACCAAAAACAGUAACAUAGGCUAAGAUACUUGCGAUGUAAACACUCUUUACAAAAGGAAUAUUGAUUUAAAUGCUCUUACAUUUCUUUACAGAAGGAAUAUUGAUCUAAAUGCUCUUAUAUUUCUUUACAUAUGGAUUACUUAUAUACAUGGAUUGCAUCAUUGGUGAUUACACCACUGAAAGAGUCGUGGAAUCACAAAAGCAGGUGUCAACUCAUGAACAACCUCGUCUGAAAGAACCAAUGUAGUUGGCCCACCCAUUUUUUAUACUCCUCAACAGCCAAACUGCUGGAUUGAACACACCAAAUUGGGCCGAAAAGAUAUUCAGAGGCACAUCUGGAGAAUCGGAAAGAUAAUCAAAAGGAACAAAUGUAAGCAUAGCACACACACAAUCAAUUCAUGUUACGAUAAUAUAGGUGUCAAGUGAAGUGCAUGACGAUCCUUCCAAAGCAUACAACCAGAUAGGACGCACAGCGUGUAUUUACAGAAAGCUCAGUAUGAGCCAUGAGUUGAGAUUAUUUUCUACAUGAAGCUUCAGUUUUAGCAACCACGUACUACGACGGUUGAUCCUGCAACUUAUGUCGCAAUCUCCGGCUCGCAUAUUACUUUAAGUUAAUAACAUAUAUAUACAACACACAGGAUUUUCAAAUCAAACCAAGGGGCGAGCAGG